rnacentral:rRNA from 1 species
AUUGAACGCUGGCGGCAGGCUUAACACAUGCAAGUCGAGCGGAGAGAGGUAGCUUGCUACUGAUCUUAGCGGCGGACGGGUGAGUAAUGCUUAGGAAUCUGCCUAUUAGUGGGGGACAACAUUUCGAAAGGAAUGCUAAUACCGCAUACGUCCUACGGGAGAAAGCAGGGGAUCUUCGGACCUUGCGCUAAUAGAUGAGCCUAAGUCGGGUUAGCUAGUUGGUGGGGUAAAGGCCUACCAAGGCGACGAUCUGUAGCGGGUCUGAGAGGAUGAUCCGCCACACUGGGACUGAGACACGGCCCAGACUCCUACGGGAGGCAGCAGUGGGGAAUAUUGGACAAUGGGCGGAAGCCUGAUCCAGCCAUGCCGCGUGUGUGAAGAAGGCCUUAUGGUUGUAAAGCACUUUAAGCGAGGAGGAGGCUACUUUAGUUAAUACCUAGAGAUAGUGGACGUUACUCGCAGAAUAAGCACCGGCUAACUCUGUGCCAGCAGCCGCAGUAACAC